AUAUCCAGUACACAUUAUCCAUCCUUCCAUUAUUUAUGUUACCUGGUAACCAUGUUGUUGUGUUUCUAACAAUAUCAAUUACAGCAGUUGCCAAGUAAAAUGCUAUACCAACAAGCACCGAAAUCAUCGCGGUCGCCAUGUUCUUUAAGGUUAUUGGGAACUCUUGGUAGUACAAUGAUACUUGUCCCGGAAAAUGAAAUGCCUCAGCAAUACCAACAAUGACUAAUUGUGGCACAAGCCAUAACACUGACAUAGGCACAAUAUUGGAACCUUGAUGGGACUUUGCUACAUUUAGCCUCUUUGAUUCGACUAAGGCUGAGAUACCCAUGCUUACAAAAUUGAGCACGUGUCCAACGCCAAUUCUCUGGAGAGGUGUAAGUGGUUUGCCAGUCAAAUUAUGCCACAUGGGAAAGAGAAAUUUGUCAAAAAGAGCUAGAAAUAGGGAAGUAGAGAUUUGGACGAAGACGAGUAUAGAACCAGCUGGGAUUUGGAAAUUGGGUCCUAGGUGACGGUCCAUUGCUAAUGCCUGAAGGAUUGACAAACUUGAUUGGACGCCAAUUGUUGUGCAAAGAAAAAAGCUACUUGUCCACAGUGGUAAGAUUCUAAUUAAGGUUUUGAAAUCUUCUACUUCUUGUACUGAACAAAGUCUCCAACGCUUAAUUGUUGAACCAUCUGAUUUAAUAUCACCUUCACUUACAAUAGCGGCACGAUUCAAGAACCUGCAUCAUAUAUAAGUACUAGAGUCAUCAAUAUACGUCAUGCCCAAUAGCAUUAAGCAACUUCAAUACGCUACACAAGUAAGAGAUGUGUAGCUAGCAGGCCAGACACUCUAUGAAAGAAACUGCACGUGUGCCCACACUUAAUUAAUGUAUCGAAUUGAUGAAUGUAGUAAUAUGAUGAAUCACGAAAUCGUCACAAUGACCCAAGCAACCUAUCGUAUGAUCCAACAUAAUAAUAAUAAUAAUAAUAAAAAUAUUGACAUCUUCACGUGCAGCUCCACUAAAAAUUUAUCAAAUUAAAUAACAACAACGAGCCAUAAAAGAAAAAGGUGUUUCUUAUCAUUGUCGAAAGAGUCGAUUUAAUAAAAUCUUUCAAAAUAAAGACGAAGCGUCAUUUUCAUAUCACUCUCCCACUAUAGCUAAGAGCAUCUUUAAUUGCCAUCCCUUGAUGUUGCUCCACCAAUAAAACACAUCAUGUCACGAUCAUAUAACUACCCUUAUUUUUGUACUUAUUAUUUUGACACACUUAAAAAGUAUUUAUGUUUAUAUAUAUAUAUAUAUUGUCAUUUUUUUCUGCCCCACAUAUCUAUAUACACAUACACCUUACCCUCUAUUUCAAUUUAUUUAUUUGAUUUUCGUUAUAGGGAGUUUUCAAAAAGUGAGCAAGCGUUUAGAAUCUUAUAGUUUUAAAUUAAAAAUAUGUGUAGAAUGCAUUACAAUGUCUUUUAAUCAUGUGGUGUUAAACAUGUCACAUGAAAUAUUGAAAUUAAAGAGUUGUUAAAAAAAGAAAAGGAUUGGUGAAACUGACUUUAAAAAAAAAAUGUAAGACUAUUGAAUUGAGACGGAGGAAGUAUAUAUUACCUGAAGGUAUUCGAAGGUAAAACAGCUAAUGCUUUGGGUACUUCAUUAUGUCCUUGGUAGAAAUGCUCAUUAGUCGAUGGGAGUGUAACUUGUCUUUUCCUAAUACUUGCAACAACAACACGAAUAAAACUGGUGAAUGGACUCCCUUCUGGCUUAAACUUGGCGUAAAAUCUGCUUCCCAUUAGGAAAAUGACUAAAGCAACAACAUUACACGCUACACAAAUAAAAAAUCCAGCUUUCCAACUUACGUUAUCUUCAACAUAGACAAUAGCUGUUGAUGCUACUAAACAAGCAGAAUACCAAAAGAAAUAGAACCAAUUGAAGAAAAUUCCUUGAUCUUUUGGCUUAUCAACUAGUUGAUCGGCUCCAAUCGUCGAUAGGGUUGAUCGGGUACCACCAUAUCCCAAUGUUGCUAGAACUAUGGCUGCAUAGAGCACUAUAUAUUGAAUUCUUGAUUUAGGGCUACAUGAGGUUGAACCAACUUCACAGGGUUUAGGUCUCAAUGAAUCAAGUGUUGCUGUUAAAGCUAAAAGGAUUGUACCCUACAAGUAUUGACAAAAAAAAUUAGUUGGUUAUCCCUAUAAAGUAUAAACAUAAAAGUAAUUUCAUGUGUUCUAUUAAAAAAAGGCACUUUUUUUUGGUUGAAAUGAUUGAAAAAAAAAAAACAAUUAAAGUGUUUUAUGGAAAAAAGAAUAUAACAUAGGAAUUGGAAUAGUGAGAGAAAUUAGAGGCUAUGUGGAUUAUGAUUUUUGGCUUUAAAACACUUUUUUACUUUAUUCAAAUAUUAAAAAGGUGUUUAAAAGCUAGUUUCAUUUAAAACACCCAAAAAGUAUCAAAUACGCUGAAAGAGUACUUCAAGGAGUGAAAAAAAGUGUUUAGGAUGAAAAAGAAAAAGAAAUAGUCAAAUUAAAGAAGUACUUAUAAACUGAAACUUCAUGUUCAUAAAUAAUUAGGUAACAAUCAACUUAUGACUUUUGAAUGAUUUUACUUCCUAACAAGCACUUGAUUGAUAAGAUCUUUGGUGUUUAUUACGUGAGAAAAAAUAUUUUAUAUGCUUGCUUAACCAACAAUAAACUUACUCAAACACCCUCUAAGAAUGAAGACGUAUAAGACAAAAUUAGGUACCAACAACAUAUAAUGGUACGGACCAAUAAUGAGAUGAUGGAUGAAAUCCAAAUGGCAGAGAAGGAACCAAGAAAUGAGUCUGUAAUAAUUGCAGCAAGGACAGGAAUUAAGUUUCCAGCACCAUUAACCAAAUUUGAUAUUUGAGCUGCAUCAAUGCUCUCCACAUCAAAUUCUUGGAUCAGAUACACAAUAAGGUUGAAUGACCAACCUCCAAAUGCUAGUGUCAAGCCUACUAUGCUCGCUGUAUUUAUCAUAAAAUCAAUGUCAAAAUUGAGAUUUUAUAUUAUAUGGUUUAGCAUCGAUACAUUGAUACAUAUUUCAGACAGAUAACUUGCUAUAACAUGUUAAAAUGUACUGUAACAAAUAUUUAGGCUAUGUGCAACAAAUUAACAAAGUAUAUGGAUAAAAAUGUAGCACUAGAGCUUUUAAUUUUUUCAUGUUGUUAAAAAUUUGAACAAUAAAAAUAAAUAACGAGUAGAAAAAAAAUUCAAGUCUGUCCGAAAAAAGAAGGGAGAAGAGAGACCUAUGAUGAAGGGGAAGGUGAUCCAGCCUCCGAUACUUCUUGACAAUUGUGCCUUUGACGCAGCUUCCAUGGUUGAAAUUACAACACAAAAAAGGAUAAUAUAUGACCACUUCAAACUUUUGGUAGAGCAUUUAUAUAUAUGAUCAGCUCAAAAAAUAUCUGUAAAUAUGGACCCUCUAGUGGGGACUUUGGAAAGAGAAGUUCCAUAAAAUGAAAAACCAAAAAAUGAGCACAAAGAAAUAAAGUCUGGGCCGAUGAGUUUAGUUGGGUUGUUUUUCCAUGUGCUUAGUUGACUUACAGGAAACAAUUCUCCUUUUGUUUGAGUUUACCGUUAAAGUGUGGUAGUUGGACUUUGGGGAGUCAAAUCUCUCAACUUAAAUUUAAAUUUAGAUGUGAAACCUAUAAAUUUUUUAAAAUGAGAUUUAUUUAUUUGAAAAUUAUAUGAAAAGUCCUACUAUAAGUAACAAUAAUUAAUAAUUUAAAAUAUUUAUAAAAACAUGAAAAAAUCGUGAUAAAAGAAUUUUAUUUUACUCUCGAAAUCAGAAUACUGUCAUAUAAUUGGACGAGGGAUUACUAUUUUAAUACUUUGCUUGUUUCUUCUCCUCUUUCUGUAGAUCUACUACAUAUGUAUGGUGUACAUUUUCCUCCAAUACAAUAAGAACAAAUUGUCUACUUUUUCUAUCACAAAUUUACGUGGCACAAUUGAAAUUUCGAGGCUCAAUCCUCUCGGCUUGACCGUAAAUUCAGAAGCAGAAACUUUAAGUUUUUUGAAAUAAAAGUUAUAUAUUUGAAAAACUACAUAAAAAGUACAAUAUAAAUCACAAUAAUUAAUAAAUUAAAAUAUCUAAAAGCUUUAUAAAAAAAAUUCUGGUUAGAAAAAAUCUUAGUUUACUCUCGAAAUUCUAACCAUACCACAUAAAUUGGCAGGGACGGUAGAAGUAUUUGUCUUGUCUAUCUUUUUCAAUAGUUAGCAGCUUAGCAACUACGCGGACUUACACGAUUUCACUAAUUAUUUUUAAGCAACAUGAGAUGAAUUGUCUUGUCUUCAAUUUGUUGGCUUUUAUAAGUUGACAUGAAGUUUAGGAUUUCACAUAAUAUUCUGCAUGCCUAUUGUGCUUUAAUUUAAUUUUGCACGUUCAUUAUGGCUUAGCUUCUCUUUUAAGUUUUAACAUCAUCCAUAUAUUUAUGUUCGAACAAAUUUUUUGAUGACUAUGAUCAAUUUGGGACCUCUUAUUUCAAAUAUGGAAACUGAUCGUCUAUCUUUUUCGUAUAAGAAUAAAGCCCAUAAUAAUUAGACAAUAAUCUCAAAUUAAUGGUCUUCGAGUUGUUUUUCUCAUCCACCAUCCUCCAGGCCAGUCAGGUGGCGCGGGGCACAAUGAGUUCAUCUGAAUUUUUUUCGUUGAUGAAUAGAUGUUGAAUUACCGUAGUUUUAUCAUGAAUUAACUUUUUUAUGCUUUGAAUUUUUUUAGUGAAAGUUCUCACUAAGCUACCACUAUUUCAAGGCCAUGAAACUUUUAAAAACGAUCUUCUAUUUUUUGUCAAAAAAGAAAAAGAAGAUAAUAUAGUAAAAAUUUACUAAUCAAUAUUCACAUAUAAAAAUCACAACUUAAUAACACUUACUGCGUCUGUUUAAAACAUAAUGAAUCUAUUUUGACAUGGUAUGGGGUUUUUAAGAAAAUAAAGAAGACUUUUAAAUUUUGCAAUCUGUUAUGUGAAAUGUAACAAAAUAUCUGUUAAGCUUGUAGUCUUAAACAUGUCACGUGGAAAUUUGAAAUUAAAGUGUUGCCAAGAAAGGAAAGAGGUCAUUCAUUUUGAAACAACUUAAAAAAAAUAAGUCAUUUUUUUUAAACGGUGGGAGUAAUUUAGAUGAUAAAUGAGGGUACAAGAAGGUGAUUCGACAUAGGAGGUUUACUUUCGUCAUUGAUUUGUCUAAAAUACUUACUCUAGAAAAUCAAGAUAUAUAUAAUUGAGUACAUUUUUCUCAAUUUGCACUUGGCCUUGGAAAAUCACGUCCUUACAUAUAGAGUAUGGUCAUUUUCAUGGUCAAUAAUCAUGACCAUCCAUUUUCUUUUCUUUUUGACCCGUGCAUCACUCUUCAGAAGCAGAAUCACUAUAAUCCACUUCCUUCGUGUUCUGAUACUUGUAAUACCAAGCACAUGUUACAUAGUAACCAAAGUUAACAACUCCCCCUACAACCAAUACCCAGUACACAUUGUCCAGCCUUCCAUUAUUUAUGUUACCUGGCAACCAUGUUGUAGUCUUUCUAACAAUAUCAAUUAGAGCAGUUGCCAAAUAAAAUGCUAUACCUACAAGCACUGAAAUCAUCGCGGUCGCCAUGUUCUUUAAGGUUAUUGGGAACUCUUGGUAGUACAACGAUACUUGUCCCGGAUAAUGAAACGCCUCCGCAAUCCCAACAAGUGCUAAUUGUGGCACAAGCCAUAACACUGAUAUAGGAACAAUGUUGGAGCGUUGAUUGGAUUUUGCCCCAUUUAGC
rnacentral:lncRNA from 1 species